CUACGGGCUGCUCCAGUGGGGAAUAUUGCACAAUGGGCGCAAGCCUGAUGCAGCCAUGCCGCGUGUGUGAAGAAGGCCUUCGGGUUGUAAAGCACUUUCAGUCGUGAGGAAGGUGGUAGUGUUAAUAGCACUAUCAUUUGACGUUAGCGACAGAAGAAGCACCGGCUAACUCCGUGCCAGCAGCCGCGGUAAUACGGAGGGUGCGAGCGUUAAUCGGAAUUACUGGGCGUAAAGCGCAUGCAGGUGGUUUGUUAAGUCAGAUGUGAAAGCCCGGGGCUCAACCUCGGAACUGCAUUUGAAACUGGCAGACUAGAGUACUGUAGAGGGGGGUAGAAUUUCAGGUGUAGCGGUGAAAUGCGUAGAGAUCUGAAGGAAUACCGGUGGCGAAGGCGGCCCCCUGGACAGAUACUGACACUCAGAUGCGAAAGCGUGGGGAGCAAACAGGAUUAGAUACCCCCGUAGUC
rnacentral:rRNA from 1 species